GAUGAACGCUGGCGGCGUGCCUAAUACAUGCAAGUCGAGCGAACAGAUGAGGAGCUUGCUCCUCUGACGUUAGCGGCGGACGGGUGAGUAACACGUGGAUAACCUACCUAUCAGACUGGGAUAACUUCGGGAAACCGGCGCUAAUACCGGAUAAUAUAUUGAACCGCAUGGUUCAAUAGUGAAAGACGGUUUUGCUGUCACUUAUAGAUGGAUCCGCGCCGCAUUAGCUAGUUGGUAAGGUAACGGCUUACCAAGGCAACGAUGCGUAGCCGACCUGAGAGGGGGAUCGGCCACACUGGAACGGAGACACGGUCCUGACGCCUACGGGAGGCAGCAGUAGGGAAUCUGCCGCAAUGGGCGAAAGCCUUACGGAGCAACGCCGCGUGAGUGAUGAAGGUCUUCGGAUCGUAAAACUCUGUUAUUAGGGAAGAACAAAUGUGUAAGUAACUAUGCACGUCUUGACGGUACCUAAUCAGAAAGCCACGGCUAACUACGUG
rnacentral:rRNA from 1 species